UUAGCCGAAUGGUAACGCUGUCUGUUUUGUAAGCGGGUGAUCAUGGGUUCGAUUCCCAUA
rfam:Culex pipiens quinquefasciatus supercont3.1409 genomic scaffold, whole genome shotgun sequence.